rnacentral:rRNA from 1 species
UGGUGGAGUGAUCUGUCUGGUUAAUUCCGUUAACGAACGAGACCUCGACCUAUUAACUAGUUCUUGAUAUCUUCGGAUAGACGAGUAACUUCUUAGAGGGACUGUCGGUGUUCAACCGAAGGAAGUUCGAGGCAAUAACA